UACGUAGGGCGCAAGCGUUGUCCGGAAUUAUUGGGCGUAAAGAGCUCGUAGGCGGUCUGUCGCGUCGGAUGUGAAAGCCCGGGGCUUAACCCCGGGUCUGCAUUCGAUACGGGCAGACUAGAGUGUGGUAGGGGAGAUCGGAAUUCCUGGUGUAGCGGUGAAAUGCGCAGAUAUCUGGAGGAACACCGGUGGCGAAGGCGGCAUCCUGGACCGGUAUUGACGCUGAGGCGCGAAAGCCAGGGGAGCAAACAGG
rnacentral:rRNA from 1 species